GAAAUAGAAAGGAAUUGAAGAAAAUAAGUUAAAAGGAUAAUCCUGAUAUUCUACCGAUGGGACGUUAGUAAGAUUUUUUUCAGUGUCUGCUUUUGACUUCUAUUUGCUUUUGAGUUAGGCUUAUAAUUUGAUAAUAGGUUACUUUUGUUGAACCUUCAAAACCUGUUCUUUUAGUAGUAAUUUGUACCUUCUUUUAUGUCUAGUUAGCGCUUCAAAAUUAUAAAAUUAUAUGAACUCUUGUAU